GGUAGAGGUCGCGGGUAGCUGGUGGGCACAAGAGCGAGAGGACAUCAUUAUGAAAUACAAAAAGGGACACCAAGCUGGGCUGUCAGAGGACAAGGGGCCUAAGACUUUUCGAAGCUACAACAGCAACGUCGAUCAUUUGGGGAUUGUACAUGAGACGGAACUGCCUCCUCUGACUGCGCGGGAGGCGAAGCAAAUUCGGCGGGAGAUCAGCCGAAAGAGCAAGUGGGUGAAAAUGCUGGGAGAGUGGGACACCUACAAAAACAGCAGGAAGGUAAU
rnacentral:lncRNA from 1 species